rnacentral:rRNA from 1 species
AUCGNACGNUGGCGGCGUGCUUAACACAUGCAAGUCGAACGAGAAAGCCUUGGCUUGCCAGGGCGAGUAAAGUGGCGCACGGGUGAGUAACGCGUAGAUGAUCUACCCUUGAGUUUGGGACAACCUUGCGAAAGCGGGGCUAAUACCGGAUACGACCUUUCGGGGUGAAAGUUGGCCACUCAAAGAAGCCAAUGCUCGAGGAUGAGUCUGCGUCCUAUCAGCUGGUUGGUAGGGUAACGGCCUACCAAGGCGACGACGGGUAGCUGGUCUGAGAGGAUGAUCAGCCACACUGGCACUGGAACACGGGCCAGACUCCUACGGGAGGCAGCAGUGAGGAAUUUUGCGCAAUGGGGGAAACCCUGACGCNNNNACGCCGCGUGGGUGAUGAAGGCCUUCGGGUCGUAAAGCCCUGUCAGGUGGGAAGAAAGGCUUGGGGAUGAAUAAGCUUUAAGUUUGACGGUACCACCAGAGGAAGCACCGGCUAACUCCGUGCCAGCAGCCGCGGUAAUACGGAGGGUGCGAGCGUUAUUCGGAAUUACUGGGCGUAAAGCGCGUGUAGGCGGCUAUGCAAGUCUGAUGUGAAAGCCCUGGGCUCAACCUGGGAAGUGCAUUGGAAACUGCAUGGCUUGAGUAUCGGAGAGGAUGGGGGAAUUCCCGGUGUAGA